rnacentral:rRNA from 1 species
GAGAGUUUGAUCCUGGCUCAGAUUGAACGCUGGCGGCAGGCCUAACACAUGCAAGUCGAGCGGUAACAGAGAGUAGCUUGCUACUCUGCUGUAUAGCGGCGGACGGGGGAGUAAUGCAUGGGAAUCUGCCCAGUAGUGGGGGACAACAGUUGGAAACGACUGCUAAUACCGCAUACGCCCUACGGGGGAAAGUGGGGGACCUUCGGGCCUCACGCUACUGGAUGAGCCCAUGUCAGAUUAGCUAGUUGUAAUGGCCUACCAAGGCGACGAUCCGUAGCUGGUCUGAGAGGAUGAUCAGCCACACUGGGACUGAGACACGGCCCAGACUCCUACGGGAGGCAGCAGUGGGGAAUAUUGCACAAUGGGCGCAAGCCUGAUGCAGCCAUGCCGCGUGUGUGAAGAAGGCCUUCGGGUUGUAAAGCACUUUCAGUUGUGAGGAAAAGUUGGUGGUUAAUACCCAUCAGCCGUGACGUUAGCAACAGAAGAAGCACCGGCUAACUCCGUGCCAGCAGCCGCGGUAAUACGGGGGGGGCAAGCGUUAUUCGGAAUUAUUGGGCGUAAAGGGCGCGUAGGCGGUCUGAUAAGUUGGAUGUGAAAGCCCUGGGCUCAACCUAGGAACUGCAUUCAAAACUGUCAGGCUAGAGUAUGGUAGAGGAUAGUGGAAUUUCCGGUGUAGCGGUGAAAUGCGUAGAUAUCAGAAGGAACAUCAGUGGCGAAGGCGACUCCCUGGCCAAAGACUGACGCUCAUGUGCGAAAGUGUGGGUAGCGAACAGGAUUAGAUACCCUGGUAGUCCACACCGUAAACGCUGUCUACUAGCUGUUUGUGGAUUUAAUCCGUGAGUAGCGAAGCUAACGCGAUAAGUAGACCGCCUGGGGAGUACGGCCGCAAGGUUAAAACUCAAAUGAAUUGACGGGGGCCCGCACAAGCGGUGGAGCAUGUGGUUUAAUUCGAUGCAACGCGAAGAACCUUACCUACUCUUGACAUACUAGAAACUUUUCAGAGAUGAAUUGGUGCCUUCGGGAAUCUAGAUUCACGUGCUGCAUGGCUUGUCGUCAGCUCGUGUUGUGAAAUGUUGGUAGUCCCGCACGAGCCGCAACCCUUGAUUCUUAGUGCCGCAUAAGUGGGACUUAGGAAACUGCGUGAUAAACCGGAGGAAGGUGGGGACGAGCCUCAAGUCCACUCACAUGGGGCCCUUACGGGAUGGGCUACACACGUGCUACAAUGGCAGGUUCAGAGGGCAGCAAUCUUGCGAGAGUGAGCGGAUCCCAAAAAACUGUUCGUAGUCCGGAUUGGAGUCUGCAACUCGACUCCAUGAAGUCGGAAUCGCUAGUAAUCGCAGAUCAGAAUGCUGCGGUGAAUACGUUCCCGGGCCUUGUACACACCGCCCGUCACACCAUGGGAGUGGGCUGCAAAAGAAGUGGGUAGCUUAACAUAGGGCGCUCACCACUUUGUGGUUCAUGACUGGGGUGAAGUCGUAACAAGGUAGCCGA